CAAUAGCGUAUAUUAAAGUUGUUGCAGUUAAAAAGCUCGUAGUUGGAUUUCUGGUGGGAGCGGCCGGUCCGCCGUAAGGUGUGUACUUGGUUGUCUCCUGUCAUCCUUGUGGGAACUGCUCUGGCAUUAAGUUGUCGGGGUUAGGGAACACAUCGUUUACUGUGAAAAAAUUAGAGUGUUUAAAGCAGGCUUAUGCCGUUGAAUACAUUAGCAUGGAAUAAUAAGAUAGGACUUUGGCGUCUAUUUUGUUGGUUUGCACACCAAGGUAAUGAUUAAUAGGGAUAGUUGGGGGUAUUCGUAUUUAAUUGUCAGAGGUGAAAUUCUUGGAUUUAUGAAAGACGAACUUCUGCGAAAGCAUUUACCAAAGAUGUUUUCAUUAA
rnacentral:rRNA from 1 species